ACCUAUAUACAUACCUAAAUACAUACGUACGUACGAAUCGAGGCACGAAUACACAUAAGUACAUACACACACCUACGUACAUACCACGCUUUGAGUUUGCUCUGCUUCAGUUCAAAACAUUUUAUACACAAUUAUAAAUUACAGCAAAAUUACUAACCCGCAACGACGCACUCACUUUUACCGUAUCUAACAUGUUUCGCCGACAGAAAGUCAGGGGAAAAGAGGAAAAUAUUGAGUGUACACAUGUGAUCGUUAUUUCUAUUUAUUCAUGCGUACGGAGAAUUGUAUUGCGAUCACCUCGUGCAAACCACACCACCGUAUAUUGGGGUGACAUCAUUUUAAGCUAAGCAUUACGGUCCGUAUUCGCAAGUCGCUUUCAGGGCGAUAAUUGUUUAACUAGUUUUUUUACACGUUGAAUUUCCUACGAGGAGAGAAUCUAGUUAGACACUUUAGAGUAUACGGACCGAUAAGUUUUGAUCGUAUCCACAAAAAUCAAUGAUUCGUUAACGCGAGCAAAAAACCCUUAUUGCUGCGAAAUUCCAGAGAAUAUUCCGUCGCGGCGUAAUGUGUUGGAAAAUUUUAUGUCGUGUCGAAAAAUCCAAGCAUAAGCUUGAGAAUUUCAUGUAUCGUCAUUUUAUGCAGCUACCUAACGUCCUAAUCAAGAGACUCGGUUGAGUAAAAUAAAAUAAAAAAUUGUGGCUAGUGGGACUCGGCGGACUUUUUAGGAAGAAAAAUAUCAAGAAUACUCUUAUGGAAAAAUGACGUUAGCCAGCCAAGAACCACGUACUCCAAUUUUUCAUUUUAUUUUUUUCAAUUCGAUCAGAGGCUUUUUUCAUCUGGUUUUCAAAUUCAAUUCAUGAUUUCAUGAUUUCUUAACAAAAGAGCGAUAAUUACAAGCGCGAUAAUCUUCGUCAAAUAAGUGAGAACGACGAUAGUUUAAUUCGAGAUUAUGUUCAUCUACGAUCAUUUUAUUCCGGUGUUCGAAAUUCGGCGUCAGGCUGAAUAAAAGAAUAAAUCCAUCGAGAUGUGAACAAAAAUAUUUCGACAUUGCGCGGUGAACUUCAUGUAUCUUCCGGCCCCGAACCUUAAAACUUAUAUCUAUCUCGAUUAAAUAAUUAAAUGGGUUGGUCAUGCGGCAGUCAGAAACCAGCUGCACAAUCAGCUGGUUGUGGAGUUGAAUCGGUACAAGAAUCGCUUUGUAAUUCAGGCCACCUAAAUUCUGCAUCGGAUUCCGCCUGCCCCGCAGUCGAAGCAGCCCUCCCAACCUGUUCUAGACCAAAUUUAGCCCUCUGCAUAAUUUUCCUCCUAUUCAUCCUUGGGAUAUUCUUCGUCAUCUUCGACUCCAUCAGACAGGAACGCCGAGAACCUCCGGGAGCGUAUAAUGGGCAAGUUAUAACGUUCCCGCAAGGUAACCAAGACGAGGACUGACUCAAUUUUAAAUUACGGAGAUAAUUUCGAUGAAAAAUCAAAAACGAAAAAAAAUAAAGAAAAGAAAAUGCGUAUGCAGGAAAAUGAAAACUAGGGUCUCACUCCUUGGGCGACGGUCAAUAAAUUAAUCAGGGGUUCUGCUCUGCCGACAUUCGGAAGAAAUAUUUCCCCCCCGGGAAUAUUAUUAUAUACCGACACCCGUUUGAAGAUUUCGAAGAAAAGUAGCAAAAGCUCAUUGGAUACGAACCUCGUCAUGUCAUUCCAACAAAUUUUAUGUUCACCUGAAGAUCCUUGUCGACGUACGGAAUGCAAAAGGAUGCUACGUUGUAAGCGAAAAGGAACUUGGAAGCGACGUCCUUCCGC
rnacentral:lncRNA from 1 species